UUGUGGAGGAGGACGCCGAAGGUAGGGCUAAUGACUGGGGUGAAGUCGUAACAAGGUAGCCGUACCGGAAGGUGCGGCUGGAUCACCUCCUAACAGGGAGACAACAAAAUGUUAAAUAUUAAUUUUGUCACCUUAGGUCGAUCGGUAUCUCACAUCCUUAAUUUAUUAAGGAUUUUAUUUCCUAAGUUUUUUCUAGGUCACACCCAUUACUUUUCCUGGGCCAUUAGCUCAGGUGGUUAGAGCGCACCCCUGAUAAGGGUGAGGUCCCUGGUUCAAGUCCAGGAUGGCCCAUAUCUCUAUGUUGGGGGUAUAGCUCAGUUGGUAGAGCGCCUGCUUUGCAAGCAGGAUGUCAGCGGUUCGAGUCCGCUUACCUCCACUGAUUACCACCUCUUCCAUAUUCAUAAAAAGGAAAUGUUUUGAGAAGUGAUCAAAUUCUGAACGAAUCUAGCUUCCUAAUCAAACUUAUUAAGAUGCUGGACUCAUUGAAUUAAAUUCAUUGUUUUCAGAGAACCUUGACAACUGCAUAGAUUAUUUUUAAAGACAAUAAGCAUCUUUAAUGAUGCAGAUUUAUUAUUUGUGCGAAUGCAUUAAUAACAAUUCUAUUAAGCUGAUGCUUCAAUUUUGAAGUUAUUGGUCAAGCUACAA
rnacentral:misc_RNA from 1 species